rnacentral:rRNA from 1 species
GCUUUAUAAAUAAAUUAAAUUUUAUUGAUUUAGAUUUAAAAAUUUGAUUUAAUUGUUUUAUUUUAUUGGGGAGAUAUAAAUAUAAUUAAUAUUAACUGUUUAUUGUUAAUACAAAGAUAUUUGAGUUAGUUUUAAAAGAUCCUUUUUAGAGAUUUAAAGACUAAGUU